AUGGACUCCCGCCACCAGCGGCUGGCGACGCUGACCAAGGCCCUGACCGCGCACGUCAACGCCGGCCGCCACCGCGAAGCGCUCGCCUUCUUCGCCCGCAUGGCCUCCGACCCGGCGCUCCCGCCGCUCGCCGACCCGUCCUUCGCGUACGCCCUCCCGCUCGCGCUCAAGUCCGCCGCCGCGCUCCGCCUCCCCUCCUCCUCCGCCGCCGCGCCCAUCCACGCCCUCGCGCGCAAGUGCAGCGGCCUCCUCAGCAACCCCUUCGUCGCCUCCGCACUCGUCGCCUCCUACGGCACCGGCUCCUCCGCCGAGGCCGCGCGCCGCCUGUUCGAUGAAUUGCCCGGCCGCACCGCCGUCGUCUGGAGCGCCAUGAUCUCCGUCUACGUCCGGUCGGGGGACGUCUCGGCGGCCGCGCGGGCUCUCGGCGAUAUGGAUGUUGUGCCGACCGCCUCCUGCUUCAACUCGGUGAUCGCGGCGGUGGUGGAGUCUGGGGAGCACCCUGCCCGGGCCGUCGAGCUCUACCGGCAGAUGCAGGGGAUGGGCAUCAAGCCCUCGCUCAUCACCCUGCUGGCGCUUGUCCGCGUGUGCACGGGGCUGGGCGCGCUGAGCUCGGUCAGGGAGGUGCACGGCUUCGCGGUGCGGCACGGCAUGUUUGUGAGCUGCCAUCUCGGCAGCUCCCUCGUCGAGGCGUACGGGCGGUGUGGCUCUUUGGUCGGCGCGCAGAGGGUUUUUGAACUGGCGGAGGAGCGCGACGUGGUUGUCUGGAGCUCCAUGGUGUCGGCGUACGCGUUCCAUGGCCAUGGAGACGUUGCGGUGUCGCUUUUCAGGCGUAUGGAGCUGGAGAAGGUCCGGCCUGAUGGCAUCAUGUUCCUCGGCGUGUUGAAGGCCUGCGGCCAUGCUGGUCGCGCAGAUGACGCCUUGAAGUAUUUCGAUGUGUUAACCAAGACAUAUGGAGUGGAAGCAUGCGGAGAUCAUUAUUCGUGCUUGGUUGAUGUCUUGGGACGGGCAGGGAGGUUGCAUCAGGCCUAUGAUGUUAUACGGACGAUGCCGGUUAGAGUUACCGCAAAGGCCUGGGGUGCUCUCCUUGCUGCUUGCAGGAAGUAUGGGGAGGUGGGGCUGGCAGAAGUUGCAGCGAGAGCGUUGUUUGAGAUUGAACCAGAGAAUGCAGGGAACUUUAUUUCGCUUGCAAAUAUCUAUUCGGGCUUGGGUAUGCAUGAGGAGGCAGAGCGGGUGAGAAGGGACAUGGAGCAACAAGGCUUGCAGAGCUCACCUGGAAGCAGUUGGACGAUACACCGCAAGUCAAGUGAACUUGUCUGA
rnacentral:rRNA from 1 species